GUGUCAGCAGCCGCGGUAAUACGUAGGGGGCAAGCGUUGUCCGGAUUUAUUGGGCGUAAAGCGCGCGUAGGCGGCGCGGUAUGUCGUGCGUGAAAUCUCCCGGCUUAACUGGGAGGGGCCGUGCGAAACUGCCGGGCUUGAGGUCAGAAGGGGAAAGUGGAAUUCCGGGUGUAGUGGUGGAAUACGUAGAUAUCCGGAGGAACACCAGCGGCGAAGGCGGCUUUCUGGUCUGAUACUGACGCUGAGGCGCGAAAGCGUGGGGAGCGAUCCGGAUUAGAUACCCGGGUAGUCCACGCCGUAAACGAUGAGUACUAGGUGUCGGGGGUAUCGACCCCCUCGGUGCCGUCGCUAACGCAUUAAGUACUCCGCCUGGGGACUACGGCCGCAAGGCUAAA
rnacentral:rRNA from 1 species